UCAUCAUUGAUUCAUUAUUCAUUACCAAAGUUGGAAGUGGAGUGAGUUUCCAUGGAGAUUAUGAGGGAUUAUUCAGGAGGACAUCAAGUAUUCCUUGGACUCAUCAAGAACAAGAUCUUCUGGCUUCCAGAACUGAAAUGAUGGAAUGUUGAGAAAAAAUUGAAAGUUAGAAAGCUAGAUGUGACUAGUUUUGCCAUCAUCUUGACGGUCUGGGUCAGAGGAAAAAUCAAGAAUGAAAAGCAUCUUUCUGCAUGACAGUUGGCUUUAAAUCUGACAGCUUCCCUCUUUCAGUUUCAGAUGCCUGAUUUCCUACUCAAAAUGAGGUCGUGGACAGCCUAGACCUACGAUGGGGUCUGAGGAUCUUCUCCUGGAAGUCCCAUGAACUACAUAGUGGCGGUUCCCCUGGCCAGAGAAUUCAUCUCCAAGUGGCCAAUCCAAAUUCUCUAUUCCUAUUCACCAAUGUCAGGAGAUCCACAGGAAUGCUUCCUCAGAAUUGCACUGGUCUCCUCUGGAUUACACCUGUUUAACAUCUUGCAGUGGGCAUCAUGCUACCUGUUAACACAGCUCAAUGCUCAUGAAGCAGCUUCAAAUAUCAUUUGGAAAUGUUUAACAAAAUAAACAGAAAUGCAAUAAAACAUAUGUAGUUUAAUUUGUUAUUUUUUAA
rnacentral:lncRNA from 1 species